AUACGGACCUUUAGGUGGCUUUCUCUUCUUCGUUUUCAGCCAUGCUUAAAGAUUUCCUAAUAAUGUUAGCUGGAUUUGAAAGAUGAAGAGUAGUCAAUGAACUGAGGCUUUGUCGAGUCUUCGGUUUAGAAAAAUCAAAGUUGUGAAUAGCUUCAUUGUUGAGGAUGAAUGUUGGUGAGUCCAUAUUGGCUCUGGAAAAAUUCAAAUCAGGAACUUUUGGGACUGGACUAC